rnacentral:rRNA from 1 species
AAUGAACGCUGGCGGCGCGCCUAAUACAUGCAAGUCGAGCGAGAAGACGUAGCAAUACGUUUGUAAAGCGGCGAACGGGUGAGGAAUACAUGGGUAACCUACCCUCGAGUGGGGAAUAACUAGCCGAAAGGUUAGCUAAUACCGCGUACGCUCCUUGGACUUCGGUUCAGGGAGGAAAGCGAUACCGUGGGUAUCGCGCUCUUGGAUGGGCUCAUGUCCUAUCAGCUUGUUGGGAGGUAACGGCUCACCAAGGCUUCGACGGGUAGCUGGUCUGAGAGGACGAUCAGCCACACUGGCACUGCGACACGGGCCAGACUCCUACGGGAGGCAGCAGUAAGGAAUAUUGCGCAAUGGGC